GGGGUUGUGGCUUAGUGGUAGAGCACUCACCUAGCACUUGGGAGGCGCUGGGUUCAAUCCUCAGCACCA
rnacentral:tRNA from 1 species